CAGCUGAAGAAGCCUGCUUUGUUGAUGGAGGUUGUUGGAAUGAUUCCCAAAAGAUCAUCCAUCUCAACAUCUACCCUGGAGGACAGAUGUGAAGCCAAGACCACUGGCCACAGAGCCAUAGCUCCCUCCAGGAGCCGCGCUAUUUCAACAAACAAUGCAACACUGGCCAGUACUGGGGGCAGUCAAUUAUUAAUGUCCUCAUGGAUGAGUGGUAUGUAUAUAAUGGCUGAGGCGAGGGAGAACUUGAUGUAAUACUAUAUCAAACAUAACUAAAAGUGCCUUGGGCAGAAAUGAUAACAGCAGUGCGAGGCGGGUUGAGGGAAGAUCUGUGUGCGGUGCUCCUCCCAUCUGCAUAAGAAUCAGAGUCCUCCUCUCAUCAUCUUGUGUGGAAAACAUGCUGUUGCUGCCGGCCAUGCCCAGCGAUGAGGUGUAACAUUAACGCAUGAGGAGGCCGAUCUCGGUCCCAUGUGUUUGCACACUCAUGCUGGGAGAGAAGACUCAGAUGCGAUUUGAUUGCUAUGUAAAGCGCAUGUAACAGCUCAAAGGCCCAGAGGUUGCCUUUGAAUUUUAUGAAUGUAGAUGAACUCGUAUUGGAAUCAACUCUAAAGUAGUGACUGUUUCUCUUCUGUACAUAUUUAAAACCUUAUGUUUCAGUAUAAUGUUCAUGACUUCCUAUGGGUCAUGCUUUUGUUUGUUUUUUUAAUCCUUGCACUUGGAGCUUGAGCUUGAGGAGCUUGCUAUAACUACUGCAGAGUGAAUGACUUGUUCUUCUGUAUGCAAAGGGUGCAGCAGUGGCCUGCUUCAGAUCAGCUCUGACUGUACCUGAGAAAGAAGGGUUGCAGAAGUGCAAGUGCAAACUGCUGAAGUGCCUUUAAACAGUCUGACACUUGUGGGCUUGUAUACAUGAAAGGUGUUGUGUUCAAAUGUAUACAUUAGACUGAAUUGCUGUAAUUUGCCUUACUUUCUAACCAGGCCAAUGGCUGCGUGAAAUGGAUGUCGGAUUGUCAUUUUGAUACAGUUAGAAAAAUCUUCAUGAAAAUCUAUAUAUUAAGCAUUUGUUUGGGGCCUGGUAAAACCUUUAGGUGGAUGCAAAGAAUGAAAUGCAACACAUCUAACAAAAGAGAAAUUAAAAGACUGAACCGCAACAUUCACUUCUUAAUACUGCUUCUGAAGACUUCAUUGUGCAAUUUCAUUCUCUUCAAGAUGGACCUGCCAAUCCAGACUGCACACAGUGUUUCAGCUUGAUGUUCAGUUGAUAGUGGUGAGAGCAGAUGAUGACAGUUGGGUGCAUUACACCGUGGGAUGACUUUGGAAAAAGAAUGACAGAAAGUGACAAGGCAACAGCCGAACGUAACAUUCGUCCUCCGCAAGUGCAGCACUCCUUCUUUGAAGCACUCAGCAGCGAACAAGCCACUUUAUUUUGACCUGCAGGUGCAGCACCUGUUGUUGGUCAGGCAUUGUUAUUGUGAGAGUCCCCACAGCUUCAGCUGAUGGGCAAAGAGAGGAGGGGGACAGAAAGAAGUUCACGCAUGUCUCAGAUCUCAACAGCAAAUGAUAGACGCGUAAUUCAGGAAUGAAUAAAGAUUAAAUGAAAUGAA